CCUACGGGUGGCAGCAGUAAGGAAUAUUGGACAAUGGGCGGAAGCCUGAUCCAGCCAUGCCGCGUGAAGGAUGAAGGCGCUCUGCGUUGUAAACUUCUUUUGGACGGGAACAAUAACUUCGAUGCGUCGGAGCUUGAGGGUACCGUCAGAAUAAGCACCGGCUAACUCCGUGCCAGCAGCCGCGGUAAUACGGAGGGUGCAAGCGUUAUCCGGAAUCACUGGGUUUAAAGGGUGCGUAGGCGGUCUGAUAAGUCAGUCGUGAAAUCGCUGGGCUUAACCUUUGCAACUGCGAUUGAUACUGUUAGACUUGAAUAAGAUUGAGGCAGGCGGAAUGUGGCAUGUAGCGGUGAAAUGCUUAGAUAUGCCAUAGAACACCAAUUGCGAAGGCAGCCUGCUGGGCCUUUAUUGACGCUGAGGCACGAAAGCGUGGGGAGCAAACAGGAUUAGAUACCCUUGUAGUC
rnacentral:rRNA from 1 species